UGGUAUAGCCUAGUGGUUAGGGUGUAGGGCUGCAGCGCGGGCGACCCGCGUUCGAGUCUCUGAUCAG